rnacentral:tRNA from 1 species
GGUCUCGUAGUUCAAUGGAUAGAACAGCAGUUUCCUAAACUGUUCCUACAAGUUCGAUUCUUGUCGAGACUACCA